AAUGAACGCUGGCGGCAUGCCUAACACAUGCAAGUCGAGCGAAUGAAGGGGGAGUGCUCCUGGAUGCAGCGGCGGACGGGUGGGUAAUGCCCAUGAGUCUGCCUGACCUUGGGGAAUGGGGUCCGGAAACGGGAGCGAAUCUCGCAUCCGACCAUAUGUAGAAAGUGGGGGUUCUUCGGUCAUAACGCUUCCUGCUGAGCCUAGGUGGGAUAAGCUAGUUGGUGGGGUAAAGGCCUACCAAGGCGACGAUCCGUAACUGGUCUGAGAGGAUGAUCAGUCACACUGGAACUGAGACACGGUCCAGACUCCUACGGGAGGCAGCAGUGGGGAAUAUUGGGCAAUGGGCGAAAGCCUGAUCCAGCAAUGCCGCGUGUGUGAUGAAGGUCUUCGGAUCGUAAAGCACUGUAAGUUGGGAGGAAGGGAAGUAAGUGUAACCGUGGCUGUUUUGACGGUACCAACAGAAUAAGCCCCGGCUAACUUCGUG
rnacentral:rRNA from 1 species